UCUUCUUUCUCUAUUUCUCUAUUUCAUUCUUCGCGUAAAACUAACUAAGAUGAAAGUUUAGCGAAAUUCCGAAAGUUACUCAGAGGUACUCGUUUUCCUUUCUAAAGCAUACGAGGGAUGGCAAAGACUACGAAGAAUAUGACAACGACAAAGAUGACACUGGCACACACUAUUUCUACAUAAUCACGGUAGAGGUUACUUACUUAGAGUACCUACAUCGCUCGACAUCGAAUCAAUCCCGUAAAUACGACUUGGCCGCGAGUAGACGCAAAACCCAACGCGUGACAAUCGAUAUUUCACAGUGGUCUUCUAUCGAGACCAUUCUCGCGGGAUAUUCAAGAACGUACAAGUAUAGAGUCGAACACUGGCCGGGCUCUCGAUGGCUCUCUGAAUAAAUAUAUAAAAUUAAAGUGAUAGAGAGAA